UACGUAGGGUGCGAGCGUUGUCCGGAAUUACUGGGCUUAAAGAGUUCGUAGGCGGCUUGGAAAGUGGGGUGUGAAAGCCCUCGGCUCAACCGAGGAAUUGCGCUCCAAACUACCGAGCUUGAGUAGGCUAGAGGUGAGCAGAACUGAUGGUGGAGCGGUGAAAUGCGCAGAUAUCAGGAGGAACACCAAUUGCGAAGGCAGCUCGCUGGGACGUUACUGACGCUGAGACGCGAAAGCGUGGGGAGCAAACAGG
rnacentral:rRNA from 1 species